rnacentral:rRNA from 1 species
GAUGAACGCUGGCGGCGUGCCUAAUACAUGCAAGUCGAGCGAACGGACGAGAAGCUUGCUUCUCUGAUGUUAGCGGCGGACGGGUGAGUAACACGUGGAUAACCUACCUAUAAGACUGGGAUAACUUCGGGAAACCGUAGCUAAUACCGGAUAAUAUUUUGAACCGCAUGGUUCAAAAGUGAAAGACGGUCUUGCUGUCACUUAUAGAUGGAUCCGCGCUGCAUUAGCUAGUUGGUAAGGUAACGGCUUACCAAGGCAACGAUGCAUAGCCGACCUGAGAGGGUGAUCGGACACACUGGAACUGAGACACGGUACAGACUCCUACGGGAGGCAGCAGUAGGGAAUCUUCCGAAAUGGGCGAAAGACUGACGGAGCAACGCCGCGUGAGUGAUGAAGGUCUUCGGAUCGUAAAACUCUGUUAUUAGGGAAGAACAUAUGUGUAAGUAACUGUGCACAUCUUGACGGUACCUAAUCAGAAAGCAACGGCUAACUACGUG